rnacentral:rRNA from 1 species
GAUGAACGCUGGCGGCGUGCCUAAUACAUGCAAGUCGAACGAGGUGCUUGAGUAGCAAUACGAGAGUAUCCUAGUGGCGAACGGGUGAGUAACGCGUUGGUGACCUACCCCAAAGUGUGGGAUAACAGUUCGAAAGGAUUGCUAAUACCGCAUGUGGUCUUCGGAUUUAGAAACUGAUGACUAAAAGGAGCAAAUUCGCUUUUGGGAGGGACCUGCGUCCCAUCAGCUAGUUGGUGAGGUAAUGGCUCACCAAGGCUACGACGGGUAGGGGACCUGAGAGGUGACCCCCCCACAAUGGAACUGAAACACGGUCCAUACACCUACGGGUGGCAGCAGUAGGGAAUAUUGCACAAUGGGCAAAGCCUGAUGCAGCAACGCCGCGUGUGCGAUGAAGGCCUUCGGG